rnacentral:rRNA from 1 species
UACGAAGGGGGCUAGCGUUGUUCGGAUUUACUGGGCGUAAAGCGCACGUAGGCGGAUCGUUAAGUCGGGGGUGAAAUCCUGGAGCUCAACUCCAGAACUGCCUUUGAUACUGAAGAUCUUGAGUCCGGGGAGAGGUGAGUGGAACUGCGAGUGUAGAGGUGAAAUUCGUAGAUAUUCGCAAGAACACCAGUGGCGAAGGCGGCUCACUGGCCCGGUACUGACGCUGAGGCACGAAAGCGUGGGGAGCAAACAGG